rnacentral:rRNA from 1 species
GCCAGCAGCUAGCUUUCUGCAACUCUAACAUAGUCGCCCACUGAAGUUAAGCAGGGCUGUGCCUGGUCAGUACCUGGAUGGGAGACCACAUGGGAAAGCUAGGUUGCUGCUGGAA